CCAUUUUGUGGCAGCCUCUGGAGGCGAGUUGACCAAGGUGAUGCUGAAAGGAAUAAACGAGAUGGAUUCUAACUUGGCUGCAGUCAUGGCUAACCUCAAGAUUCUGUCCUGCACUGUAACCUUGCAGCAAGUACUGAAGUUCCUCCUUGCUCAGGUCUGACUCUGAAGUGUAUAUCUGGUGACUGAAGACAGCUGGUGUCCAGACACAUCAGCCUGAGAUAAGAUGGUGGACUUGUCCUGACCUGAUGUGGCUGACUUCAAAAUCUUCUUAAAAAACCCAGGUAUCAGGGUGAAGAGCACAGUACCCACUAAUUGUGACCAUUGGCACAGACCCAGCAGUGCCUUCCAGAACCAGAGCACCAUGCUGCGCACACAUAACUACAAGUGGGUGCUCUGCAAAGAGAUGCUGAGCUCGAUUAAAGGUGAAGAUGCAAGGGAUUUGAUCAUCACUGGACAGAUACUUCCAUUACAUGCUUUGUGUAUGGAAUAUGUUGAUAUUACCCACUUUGAGCUGCUUCCUGAACCAGAAACUUGUUCAGCUUUGUUUGUGGUCUAAUUGAAAUAAACUUUUUUUUUUCCCUGA